rnacentral:rRNA from 1 species
AACGAACGUUGGCGGCAGGCCUAACACAUGCAAGUCGAACGCCCCGCAAGGGGAGUGGCGCACGGGUGAGUAACGCGUGGGAAUAUGCCCUUCGGUUCGGAAUAACACAGGGAAACUUUUGCUAAUACCGGAUACGAUCUACGGAUGAAAGAUUUAUCGCCGAGGGAGUAGCCCGCGUAGGAUUAGCUAGUUGGUGAGGUAAUGGCUCACCAAGGCGACGAUCCUUAGCUGGUCUGAGAGGAUGAUCAGCCACACUGGGACUGAGACACGGCCCAGACUCCUACGGGAGGCAGCAGUGGGGAAAAUUGGACAAUGGGCGAAAGCCUGAUCCAGCCAUGCCGCGUGAGUGAUGAAGGCCUUAGGGUUGUAAAGCUCUUUCGCCAGGGAAGAUAAUGACGGUACCUGGAAAAGAAGCCUCGGCUAACUCCGUGCCAGCCGCCGCGGUAA